GGGGUUGUGGCUCAGCGGUAGAGCACUCGUCUAGCACACGCAAGGCCCUGGGUUCGAUCCUCAGCACCACUU
rfam:Ictidomys tridecemlineatus contig069955, whole genome shotgun sequence.